UACGUAGGUGGCGAGCGUUGUCCGGAAUUAUUGGGCGUAAAGCGCGCGUAGGCGGGAUAUUAAGUCUCUUGUCAAAGUGCGGGGCUCAACCCCGUGAUGCGGGAGAAACUAAUAUUCUUGAGUGCCGGAGAGGAAAGCGGAAUUCCCAGUGUAGCGGUGAAAUGCGUAGAUAUUGGGAGGAACACCAGUGGCGAAGGCGGCUUUCUGGACGGUGUCUGACGCUGAGGCGCGAAAGCCAGGGGAGCGAACGGG
rnacentral:rRNA from 1 species